rnacentral:rRNA from 1 species
AUUGAACGCUGGCGGAAUGCUUUACACAUGCAAGUCGAACGGCAGCACGGACUUCGGUCUGGUGGCGAGUGGCGAACGGGUGAGUAAUGUAUCGGAACGUGCCCAGUCGUGGGGGAUAACGUAGUGAAAAUUACGCUAAUACCGCAUACGAUCUAUGGAUGAAAGCGGGGGAUCGCAAGACCUCGCGCGAUUGGAGCGGCCGAUAUCAGAUUAGGUAGUUGGUGAGGUAAAGGCUCACCAAGCCGACGAUCUGUAGCUGGUCUGAGAGGACGACACGCAAAACUGAAACUGAAGCACGGUCCAGACUCCUACGGGAGGCAGCAGUGGGGAAUUUUGGACAAUGGACCCAAGUCUGAUCCAGCCAUUCCGCGUGCAGGACGAAGGCCUUCGGGUUGUAAACUGCUUUUGUACAGAACGAAAAGGUCUCUAUUAAUACUAGGGGCUCAUGACGGUACUGUAAGAAUAAGCACCGGCUAACUACGUGCCAGCAGCCGCCGUAAUAC